rnacentral:rRNA from 1 species
UACGUAGGGACCGAGCGUUGUCCGGAUUCAUUGGGCGUAAAGAGCUCGUAGGCGGCUCGGUAAGUCAGGUGUGAAAACUCUAGGCUCAACCUAGAGACGCCACCUGAUACUGCUGUGGCUAGAGUCCGGUAGGGGAGCAUGGAAUUCCUGGUGAUAGCGGUGAAAUGCGCAGAUAUCAGGAGGAACACCAGUGGCGAAGGCGGGUCUCUGGGCCGAAAUUGACGCUGGAG